GCAAGAUAAACUCUGCUACAAAAUUUAAUAUGUACUUAAUAGUUUGAGAAGUAUAUUGGAAGAUUAACUGGUGCUUAUCAGUGUGAGCUGGGGCCUUUAGCAAAUAAACAGCAACACUGUAUUUGUGUUUUGAACACUGGAGAUAAUGGUGUUGAAAAUGACAGACCCCAGCAGUAGUGUGAAGUUUCAAGAUCCUGCUCAUGUGGUAUAUCCCAGCUUUUCAUUUCCAUCACAACUCAGCUGCCUAGAAGACAUACUCUGCAAAGAUUGGAAAUCAAGACUUCUACAUACAAGCUUACGAGUGCUGCUAAAGAAAGGAAAGGGUUUUUUUGUCUCACCAAAACCAGUCCAACUCUGAAACAUGAACUGGAUUAUUUUUUGGCUUGUUCUUAUACCUGUUGUCUCCAUGGCUUAUUUCACUGCAUAUUUAAAAUUACACUAAAGAUCCUCU
rnacentral:lncRNA from 12 species